GGGCGGCUAGCUCAGCUGGUCAGAGCGCCUGGUUUACACCCAGGAGGUCGGGGGUUCGAACCCCUCGCCGCCCACCA
rnacentral:tRNA from 1 species